rnacentral:rRNA from 1 species
UACAGAGGGUGCAAGCGUUAAUCGGAAUUACUGGGCGUAAAGCGUGCGUAGACGGUUAUGUAAGUCGGGUGUGAAAGCCCCGGGCUCAACCUGGGAAUUGCAUUCGAGACUGCAUAGCUAGGGUGCGGAAGAGGGAAGCGGAAGUUUCCGGUGAUAGCGGUGAAAUGCGUAGAUAUCGGGAAAGGAACACCAGUGGCGGAAAGCGGCUUCCUGGU